rnacentral:tRNA from 1 species
GGGUCGAUCGUAUAAAGGUCAUUACGGCAGGCUGUUAACCUGCUUAUCGUGGUUCGAUUCACGUCGUCCCGCCA